UACGGAGGGUGCAAGCGUUAUCCGGAUUUACUGGGUUUAAAGGGUGUGUAGGCGGACUUUUUAAGUCAGCGGUGAAAUCUCCGGGCUCAACCCGGGAAACUGCCAUUGAUACUAUUUGUUCUUGAAUGUUGUUGAGGUGGGCGGAACGGGUCAUGUAGCGGUGAAAUGCAUAGAUAUGACCCGGAACACCGAUUGCGAAGGCAGCCCACUAAGCAACGAUUGACGCUGAGGCACGAAGCGUGGG
rnacentral:rRNA from 1 species